rnacentral:tRNA from 1 species
GGGGGUAUAGCUCAGUUGGGAGAGCGCCACGCUGGCAGCGUGGAAGUCAGGGGUUCGAGUCCCCUUAUCUCCA